GAUGAACGCUGGCGUCGUGCCUAAUACAUGCAAGUCGAGCGAACAGACGAGGAGCUUGCUCCUCUGACGUUAGCGGCGGACGGGUGAGUAACACGUGGAUAACCUACCUAUAAGACUGGGAUAACUUCGGGAAACCGGAGCUAAUACCGGAUAAUAUAUUGAACCGCAUGGUUCAAUAGUGAAAGACGGUUUUGCUGUCACUUAUAGAUGGAUCCGCGCCGCAUUAGCUAGUUGGUAAGGUAACGGCUUACCAAGGCAACGAUGCGUAGCCGACCUGAGAGGGUGAUCGGCCACACUGGAACUGAGACAUGGUCCAGACUCCUACGGGAGGCAGCAGUAGGGAAUCUUCCGCAAUGGGCGAAAGCCUGACGGAGCAACGCCGCGUGAGUGAUGAAGGUCUUCGGAUCGUAAAACUCUGUUAUUAGGGAAGAACAAAUGUGUAAGUAACUAUGCACGUCUUGACGGUACCUAAUCAGAAAGCCACGGCUAACUACGUG
rnacentral:rRNA from 1 species